rnacentral:rRNA from 1 species
GACGAACGCUGGCGGCGUGCUUAACACAUGCAAGUCGAACGAAGUGGCGAACGGGUGAGUAAUACGUGGGUAACCUGCCCUCCUUUUUGGGAUAAGCCUUGGAAACGGGGUCUAAUACCGAAUAAAGGGGGAUGGGCUCGCGGCCUAUAAGCUUGUUGGUGGGGUGAUGGCCUACCAAGGCGGUGACGGGUAGCCGGCCUGAGAGGGUGAUCGGCCACGUGGGAACUGGUAUACGGCCCAGACGCCGACGAGAGGCAGCGGUGGGGGAUAUGGCACAAUGGGCGAAAGCCUGAUGCGGUGAAGCCGCGGGGGGGAUGAAGGCUUUCGGGUUGUAAACCUCUUUCGCAAGCGAACGGGUAGGUGGAGAAGAAGCGCCGGCUAACUACGUGCCAGCCGCCGCGGUAAUUC